rnacentral:rRNA from 1 species
GAUGAACGCUAGCGGGAGGCUUAACACAUGCAAGUCGAGGGGCAGCAUAGGGUAGCAAUACUCUGAUGGCGACCGGCAAACGGGUGAGUAACGCGUAUGCAACCUACCCUGUACAGGGGGAUAACCCGGAGAAAUUCGGACUAAUAUCCCGUAAUAAUAUCCGGAGGCAUCUUUGGAUAUUUAAAGUUCCGACGGUACGGGAUGGGCAUGCGUAACAUUAGCUGGUUGGUAAGGUAACGGCUUACCAAGGCUAUGAUGUUUAGGGGUCCUGAGAGGGUGGUCCCCCACACUGGUACUGAGACACGGACCAGACUCCUACGGGAGGCAGCAGUGAGGAAUAUUGGUCAAUGGGCGCAAGCCUGAACCAGCCAUCCCGCGUGCAGGAAGACGGCCCUAUGGGUUGUAAACUGCUUUUCCAGGGAGAGAAACUUACGCACGUGUUGCGUGACUGACGGUACCCUGGGAAUAAGCAUCGGCUAACUCCGUGCCAGCAGCCGCGGUAAAAAGUGUGUGUA